rnacentral:rRNA from 1 species
AAGAAAACAAGGAGGGCUAAACAAGGAGAAUGCAGAUCUGAUCGAGAGGGGUAAAAUCCCCAGCCAUCUUCUUCGAUCCCCUUAGGCCUGGCAUCUCUAUCUCCCUCACCCUACUUCUCCACCUCCGGCCGCCGCCACGGCCAGGCCGGCGUGGUUGUCUGCCUCCCACCUCAUCACCAUCUCCAUCCACCACUCCCCGAAGCCAUCCAUCUCCACCGUCCGCGCCAAGCACCACCAGCACCACUCCAUCUCCACCGCGCCUUCACCAUCACCUCGCGCGCCCUACCAGACGCGGUGGUCUAGUGCCUCGCGCGACCUCUCCCUCCAGCCGGCGCGCCUCUCCCUGCUGUUUCCCCAACUUCUUCUUCCCUUUGCUGCUCCUCCACCUCUCCUCGUCCCCCAAACUGCUUGCUGCUUCUCCUUCUAUGAACCCUUGCUGCUGCUGCCGCUUCUUCUUGCGCCCUCCGUUGCUGCUGCUCUCUUCUCCCACGUCUUUGCUGCUGCUCCUCUUCUUGCGUCCCUGCUGAUUCCUCUCCUUCCCCUUGCUGCUGCUCCUCCUUCUCUCCAAAACUGCUGCUGCUCCCUCUCCCAUGAACCUGCUGCUACUCUUCUCUCCUUGCUGCUCCUAGUUCUUCUCUGAACUAAAACUGCUGCUGCUUCUCUCCUCUCUUACUUCUUGCAAAUUUCUGAAAACUGCUAGGUGAACCUUGUGUAAUAUUCAGAUUUGUGCCUUGAGAUGCUUAUGUAAUAUUCAGAUUUGAAGUGUACUUGCAAUCUGCUGUUUGCUCUGUUUAAGUACUUGUAUAAUAUAGUGUAUGUGUUUUGAGAUCUGACUAGUUGAGGCUUUGUUACUUUGAGAGAUACUUGAUCUAUCAUAUUUUGGUUUUGUCAAUUGGUAUUCUGCUAGUAUGUGUGUGUGUGUGUGUGUGUGUAAUUCAUCAAAACAAAUUGUUGUGUGCUGAUGAUUAAUGUCCAGUUUACUGUUCCUGCGAUAUAUACAUAUGUGUGUUUGUGAUGUGAUACAUAUAUACCUGUGAUUUUAUUUUGUAGUGAGACUGCUCUUUGUGAAGUCAGAGGUGUGAUUGUUUUUAAUCUCAAGUUCAAUGUGCUAGCUAUGCACCAGUGACAUAUGUGACAUGUAUAUGUGAUGUGAAACAAUUGUAUGCUGUCCCUAAUCUUGUUCCUUCCGCGUGUCUUAUACUUGCUAGUUUUAUAUACAUAUAUGUGUUCUUGUCUUGUUAGUUCCCUUUGUUGAAGUUGUCCCCCUGUAGUUUUUAUUUCUCAAGUUCUAGGAAAACACCAAAAAGAUAGUAAGUAAUCUGAACCUCCCUUUGCUAUUUUGCAUUUUCUUUGUGGAUUAUCUUCGGGAACAAUCAUUGUUAGUUUAGAUUCUUAUUUUCUGCAUUUAUCUCUUAAAAUUUUGCUUCCUAGCUUUAGCCGAGCAUAGUCGUCGUCGCCUAGUCCCUGUGGAGAACACGACAUCCGUAGUUUGGGGCGUAAAACCCCCGCUAUACUUUCAAUUGAUCAUUUUGGCGCCGUUGCCGGGGACUAGCGUCGAGCGUUUGUGUGAGGCUUUAGACUAGGUUUAGCUUGUUUCCUUUUUGUGCUUUAUAUAUUUGUGAUAUAUCUCUAGCCACUAACCCCUGUUCUAGUUAGUAUCUUUUUGUCUUCUUUUCCUUUUUGCAGGUUGGAUUAUCCUCUCGGUUAUGGCUUACUAUUCAGAUCAUCAGGCUUAUGCGAGCAACACUACAAACAACACGAAAAGUGUUCAAGAACUGAUAGGUAAGAUUUCCCAUCGAUUAGAUGAUUUAGCUCGGCAGCGAGAAGGAGUUUUUGAGGAUAGGCCUAGCUCUUAUGAUCCUUAUUCUAGAGGCUAUCCUUAUGUUGCUCCUACCUGCCAUAUUUGUGGAUUUUAGGGCCAUUCGCCCGCUGAAUGUCAGCGUGGUUACUCCCAUCCUCCGGAUUGUUUUGGCAUGAGCUUCGCUCAACAGCAUAGCUCAUACCAAAACAAUUACACACAUGGGUGGCCUGAAAACCAGAAUAUGUCAUAUAGGAGCAAUAACCCUGAGAUCUCAUCGUUUGCUUCUAGUAAUCAUAUGCAGGGAUUUAGGUACAAUGAGGAGAGCCACAACUAUGCACCACAACAAUUCCAUUCAGCUCCUACUCAUAUACCACAACACCAGGAGAUGUGUCCAAUGGAGUUAAAUGGUCCUCCAUUUGGUCAACCAACAACUCCAGCACCUGUUGUGCAAUCUCAUGUGCAAGUGCCCACACAAGAUGAGUUAGAUGACAUAGACAAGCUCACACUUUUGAGUCUCGAGUUCACUUGGAGUGCCGAGGAUGAUCCUAUUAGGAAGGUUAUACUAGAGGAAAUGAAGAAGAUUAAGAGUGGAAAGGAGCUAGUCGAAGAAGUAAGGAAGAUUGAGAAGAACAUCAACGCUGGCAGCACUAUUUCUUCACAACUUGAGUUGAGUGUGGCUGAGAUAUCCAUGGAUACAUGUGAGGUUCCAACACCUUCACAUUUCGUUGAGCAAGAUAGCAAGUGCCUUGAGCAAGAGAUACCUCAGAUUGUAGAAGAUGAACUAGAAGACAAGGAACAAGAUGGUCAAGAGCUGCAAUUCCCAAGUGAUCAAGUUGAAGACUCAUCAUCUAUUACUCCUGAUGAAGUACAAGAAGCUGCUGUAGAUGAAGAUGAAGAACAUGAGAUUCAUUGGCCUAUUAUCAUACAUGAGCAUGAUGUGUCAGGUUUACUCAAUCCUCUUGAUGACAUGAUGCCUUGUGAUUUCUUUGCUACUACCUUGCAUUACAUGAUACCAUCACUUAAGAUUGAUUUGAAAAAUCAUUUGCUUGGAUAUGAUGAUAUAUACCCUGUUAGUGGCAUUACUCUCAUUUGUGAUGAUCAUAGUUACUUUCCUCGUGCUAGUCCUAUGCUAAAUGAAACAUAUCAUUCCCAUGCUAGUCUUGAGCUUAAUGAUAAAUAUCAUCCUCAUGUUAGUGUUGACCUUGCUGAUUUCUACCAUCCUAAACAUGUGCUUUAUAGCUAUGCUUAUGUAAUUGGAUAUUCGAUUGAUGACUUGGAGGGUAUUAUCCCUACCACUUGCAUUGUCUCUUUGGUUGAGUGCUCUUUCAGGUUGUUGCUUGUGCACGAUCCACUACAUGCUGACCAGGUUCGAGGUGACAUUCCUUGGGAUCCUGGUGGAGUCAGAGCAUGGCGAUGAGGAGAAGCAAUGGGGCACACAUAUGGAAGAGUGAAGCUGGAGCAUCCAUGAGGAAUCAAGGGAGAAGAGCUGCAGCUGGUGAGGUGAUCGAGCGAGUGCUACAUGAUCAAAGCCCGGUGAGCUGUUUCAUGACCCAUUCCUAGUAUAUCAUCCAUUGAUACAUGCUGAAAUCAAAUGUUAUUUGGGUUGCUUAAGCCAUGUCUUAAAUGUUGCCCUACUGAAUUUUACUUGACAUAUGGUGCUUGAUGAGAAUAUGUGAACUGAGUGUUGAAUGCCUGGUAAACUAGUGAUCUAUACAAUGCUUGCUUUGCUGAAAGUAGUGGAAGUUAUUAGUUUUGAGUGCUCAAAUCCCUAGUAUACUAGAAAACUUAAUCAUUUUCUGCUUUUAACUCGAUACACCUAGAUCACCACGUUUAGAUGCUGAAUUUGUGCUAAGUGUGUUCCCAUUGAGAGCAAUCACCUAACAACUAUGGAUUAGCAUGCUAUGUUCCCUGGAUCGGUAGCAUGUGAACCAGACAUGGAGAAGUGAUGAUUCCUAUUUCUGUGCUUAUGUGUUGUUCAUUUAAGAUAAGUAAUAAUGAAUAAAUAAGUCUGACUACCUACAGUAGCAUGUCAUGUUCCCGGGAUCGGUGGCAUGUGAAAUCGGGUUAGCUUGGGCAGUAAUUAAUAAUAAAAAAAUGUAAUUGUCGAACCAGGUGUAUACCAUGUUCUCGGGAUCGGUGGUAUGUUCCUUUGGGGAGACAAACAAAAAAAACUAAUAAUUGGUCGAGCCAGGUGUAUACUAUGUUCUCGGGAUUGGUGGUAUGUUCCUAUGGUGAGACUAAUAAUAAUAUAAUCAUUGCUUUAUCUCUGUAAAUAAGUGAUUUGAUCACAAGAUUUAAUUCCAGUUCAUUUUGUUCUUGGGAUCAUGCUCUCUUUAGGAACCUUUGGCACAAUCAUCAUUUGAACUUGUUGAUCCCACUUUUAUCAUUGUAAAAGUUUAAAAUGAUUGAGUCUACUAGUAUCCUACUGCUUUGAAGCACUCCUGACCAUUGAUUUUCACUAGCAAAGUUCAAAGCAUGCUUUGUUUGGAGAUCUACUUCACUUGGCAUUCUCUAGUCAGCUCACUGUUCACAAUCUUGCUCUUGUCAUAUUUCUUUGCUUGAGGACAAGCAAAGAUUUAAGUGUGGGGGAACUUGAUAGAGUAUUUCCUCAUAUAAUAUUUUUAGCCUUCUUGCAUCAAAUUGUAAUCAUAUUUUCACAUUAUUUACUCGAAAGAUAUUCAAAUACUCAUAUUAUGUCACAUUUACAACACUACUCCAUCUUUUGCAGAAAAGGGCGAUAAGGCCCAAAUCCUUCUAUAUUGGAGUGUCUAAGAGGUUGCGGUUGCUGCAUUUUGCAGAGGGACUCGAGUGUGAAGAAGAAUUAACCUACAGGGGCUAGCUGAAGAAGAAGGGGACCAACUUGGGAAGAAAGAAGAAAACAAGGAGGGCUAAACAAGGAGAAUGCAGAUCUGAUCGAGAGGGGUAAAAUCCCCAGCCAUCUUCUUCAAUCCCCUUAGGCCUGGCAUCUCUAUCUCCCUCACCCUACUUCUCCACCUCCGGCCGCCGCCACGGCCAGGCCGGCGUGGUGGUGCGCCUCCCACCUCAUCACCAUCUCCAUCCACCACUCCCCGAAGCCAUCCAUCUCCACCGUCCGCGCCAAGCACCACCAGCACCACUCCAUCUCCACCGCGCCUUCACCAUCACCUCGCGCGCCCUACCAGACGCGGUGGUCUGGUGCCUCGCGCGACCUCUCCCUCCAGCCGGCGUGCCUCUCCCUGCUGUUUCCCAACUUCUUCUUCCCUUUGCUGCUCCUCCACCUCUCCUCGUCCCCCAAACUGCUUGCUGCUUCUCCUUCUAUGAACCCUUUCUGCUGCUGCCGCUUCUUCUUGCGCCCUCCACUGUUACUGCUCUCUUCUCCCACGUCUUUGCUGCUGCUCCUCUUCUUGCGUCCCUGCUGAUUCCUCUCCUUCCCCUCGCUGCUGCUCCUCCUUCUCUUCAAAACUGCUGCUGCUCCCUCUCCCACGAACCUGCUGCUGCUCUUCUCUCCUUGCUGCUCCUAGUUCUUCUCUGAACUAAAACUGCUGCUGCUUCUCUCCUCUCUUACUUCUUGCAAAUUUCUGAAAACUGCUAGGUGAACCUUGUGUAAUAUUCACAUUUGUGCCUUGAGAUGCUUAUGUAAUAUUCAGAUUUGAAGUGUACUUGCAAUCUGCUGUUUGCUCUGUUUAAGUACUUGUAUAAUAUAGUGUAUGUGUUUUGAGAUCUGACUAGUUGAGGCUUUGUUACUUUGAGAGAUACUUGAUCUAUCAUAUUUUGGUUUUGUCAAUUGGUAUUCUGCUAGUAUGUGUGUGUGUGUGUGUAAUACAUCAAAAAUAUUGUUGUGUGCUGAUGAUUAAUGUCCAGUUUACUGUUCCUGCGAUAUAUACAUAUGUGUGUUUGUGAUGUGAUACAUAUAUACCUGUGAUUUUAUUUUGUAGUGAGACUGCUCUUUGUGAAGUCAGAGGUGUGAUUGUUUUUAAUCUCAAGUUCAAUGUGCUAGCUAUGCACCAGUGACA